AAAAAGGAAAAACAACAAAAGAGGAAUAAGAAAAGAGAGCUGCGGGGGGAGGAAAAGGGAAAAACCGAAAAGAAAAGAAGAACAGAAAAGUAGCAAAAGAAAACCAAGGAACAGAGGAGAAGCCGGAGCUGCUGUCGCUCGCUGAAAUCAUCCACCAUCACCGCCGUCGGAACUUCGAAAAGCACUGUAAAACCUUGUUCCUUCCUUUCCUACGUUUGAUUUCUGCUAAUGAAUAUGUGGAACUAUGUGUCAUGGAGCGAGCUAAAUAAAAGAAGGCCACGUGUUUGAUUCUUAUUGGUGUAGUUAGGAGUUUGUUAGAAAUUGAUAGGUUUAUAAGCAGGCAUCUCUGCUUCGUUGUAAUCAGUUUUUGGAAUUAUUCCCUCAGAUUCGUCUGAAUUAACUUGAGAAGCAAUCCUCAUUUUUCCCUCCCAAAUUUUCCUUCAAUCUUUCCCCUUCUUAGCUAAAUCCAUUAUUUCUGUUCUUGUAAUUUGUUUUCCAGAUUCAAUUAAUGAAAGUUGAAGUUCAUUCGUUCACUAUUUCAUUGAUUCAUCAUUAAUUGGUUUCCUUCAUUUGAGCUUAAUUCCUUAUGCUUCCUGCAAACUCUGGUUUCUCUGGUUUCUGUACCAUAACAGUGGUAUCAGAGCAGCUACGAUCCAUCUGGAUUUGGCUGCUUGAUUAGAAAUCUUUCCUCCUAAUUUUUCCUUCACUUCUGAUUCACCUUCAUCCCUAUCCAUCUUCAUCUCUUUUCUGACCAAUCAAUAUAUAUAUAUAUAUAUAUAUGAAGACCCUUGAAGAAACUAACGUAGUAGAGUACUAUGAGGAAUUUGAAGAGUGGAGAAACGAGAUGUUGGCUUUGAAACCAGAACUCAGUGAGGAAUACUUUAUUGAUGGUUUUAACUUUGGGCUUGAUUGGAAUAUCCAGAUGAAGCUAAAGGGAUUUAGGAGUCCACCCAAGAUCUUGUAUGAAGCAUAUCUCCGAGCAAAAAUCAAGGAAGCCGUGAUGGAGAAGCAUGAUUCUACUCUUGAUUCACCAAAAGGAGAGCAGCUUAUGAAAGAAAAUGAGGGUAUAGAGGCUGAACACAAUGAUAUAAUCACUAACUUGAAGGAUGAAAGUGUAGUCAACCACAUGUUUGAUGGGUUGUGCCAAAGGACUCCAAUGGAUUUUUUAGAGGAGAACCAACAUAAAACAUUAGCAAGGGAAUAUCAAGAAGAAAAAGCUAAAAACCAAGUGUUUGAUAGAUUGGCUCACAACGAUUGUGUUAUCUCUCAAGGGCUUAGCUAUGAAUUGCUUACAGGGGAGCUAGGUUGGCAACAAGGCUCUAUAGACAAGGAAAUAUUUAACUCUGCUUCACCGCUCCACUGUCCCAGAAAUUGGUCUUCGGUCAGCCGUGAGGUAAAACAAAAGUUCACUGAGGUAAAAAUCAAUUGGAAUCAGUUAUCUUGUAGUGGUUAUCGGUUUGGAAACUGUUCUUCAUAUCUAAAAUCUAUGUUAUCAUCUAAACUUGUGAAAAUGGAUAAUGAUGAACAAAAGCUUGAUGGUGCCGUAAAUAUUGUUCCUUUGCAACAAAGUAGACCACUUAAUGAUUUGAUAUUUGAUCCUGGGGGUGGUACUAAAAUAGAAAUGAACAAAGACUGUAAUGACUCCAAAUUUGGUGCGGUUUCAAUGCAAGGUAUAUUUUACAUAGCAAUAGUUGAACACCUCGCUUGCUUGAUCCAAGGGUUGCCUAAAUUAAGUAAGGACUACAAUCCUAAUGUUGCUGUGGAUGAGUACUGCUCAGUGUCUUCAUUUUGGAUAGUGAAAAACAUUGCACUUGGGGUGAAAAAAGAUGCAAAUGCAUUCAUUUUCGUGUUCAACCCUGGUGAGGUUAUCUUGCUUGAAAACUUCAGCAAUGGACAGUUGAAAUAUGUACAGGAGUGCAGCUUCAAAUUGCUUGAAAGAAGAUGUCCACAGAAAGGAGAAGUAGAGAAGUGUACAACAGUUAUCUAUGGUGUCCGCAUUUCCAUUUUGCAACUUUCUACUCUUGCUAUAUGUGGUCACCAAAGUAAAAUUGUGAUUAUGGAGGUUGGGGAAAGUGAACUUCUUAAUGAGAAAUCUUCCCAAUCUUUGUUAUGGUGUAGUCAAAUUGACUUUAGUAAGGAUAAUAACACAUUGGUUUACGGCAUAUUACCAGCAAUAGUGUUUCAAGAUAGGGAUAUCAUACAGGUACAUGCACCAGUGAAAGCUAUAUCAGUACUUGCUAAUUUCUUGGAAUUAAAAGAGGGAACCAAUAGGUACUUUGGUCUGCAAUUUCUGGCUAGCUUGGCCUGUAAUGGCUACAUAGGAAUUCUCCUAUCUGUUUCAAAUCCAGGAGUAACAGCAGGACUUCUAACCUUGCUCGGUUGUGUUGAUGCUAACCUGCAAGACCUUUUAAAGGCAGUAGAGAAAUUCCUUGGUUUGCAUUAUCCGGAUCAAGUUGCUCUUAAAAGAUUAUAUAUGGUUGGUGGUGCUACUUCUAGAAUUUCAGCUCUUGUUGCUCAGCUAAAACUAAUUCCAGGACCUGAUUUUGAGAGUGAUGGGCAAUUUAGAACUUUAAAGGUUGUAAACAUUUGGAGCCACAAGGCCUGGCUGACCACCAAACUUGUGAACUCCCAAUUCCUUUACUUGAUUCUUUUGUUUCAGAUAUGCAAAAUUUGGCGGCUGAACUUCUUUUGCACGUGCUUAUGGAAGAUCAAUUUCAGAAGAAUCAGCAAGCUUUGUCAUUUUCUUAUACUACUUGCUUGCUGCGAAUUGCCAAAUAUCAAUCUGAAGACUUUGUUUGGAAGCCUGGAACUUUGUUUGACAUCCUUGAGGACAAGGAUUGUUUAAGGGGGAGGCUUUGUCAUGGAGCGAGCUAAAUAAAAGAAGGCCACGUGUUUGAUUCUUAUUGGUGUAGUUAGGAGUUUGUUAGAAAUUGAUAGGUUUAUAAGCAGGCAUCUCUGCUUCGUUGUAAUCAGUUUUUGGAAUUAUUCCCUCAGAUUCGUCUGAAUUAACUUGAGGAGCAAUCCUCAUUUUUCCCUCCCAAAUUUUCCUUCAAUCUUUCCCCUUCUUAGCUAAAUCCAUUAUUUCUGUUCUUGAAAUUUGUUUUCCAGAUUUAAUUAAUGAAAGUUGAAGUUCAUUCGUUCACUA
rnacentral:lncRNA from 1 species